ensembl:lincRNA
UGUCAUUCUGGUCUCCCAGCCAUUCUUAGGAAGAGACGUGCCUGGCUCCGGGAAGGGGCAACUUCUCUGUUAAGUAAUGAAGAAAAAGCUCAAGAAGUGUCCUGAACAGCAGCAGCUGUGGGUGGGGAAUGUUGAAUGUCUGGGAGACUGAGAGCUGGCCCAAGUUUUUGAAUGAAGACUUCUGUGCUAAAGAGGAUCUAAGGUCUGUUACAUUUCCCAGAAUGGUUCCCAGUGCUGGAGAUAAUUCCUUUUCGGAGAACCUACAUUUCUCACCUGCUGAUUGCAAUUAGCCACUACCAGCUGGGGCCUGGUGUGCAGCUGAAAAGCUAACAAGAAGUGGAGACCACGCGGAACCCAGGCAGGGCAUAGGAUGUGCAUAAAUAAGCAACGGUGCCUGUGUUUAUGAGAUGCUCCUGUGAAUUCAAGGCUUCCCCACCCUCUGCAUAACUCUCCCUCUUCUGGCUUUGUGCUGCACACCCCUCCCCUAACUAUAUUUUUUGUCUCUGGUUUCGUAGCCUACACUUAACAUCACAGUCACGAAUUUAC